GUUCAGGGUGGUACCACCCUGAACACGCCCGAUCUCGUCUGAUCUCGGAAGCUAAGCAGGGUCGGGCCUGGUCAGUACUUGGAUGGGAGACCGCCUGGGAAUACCAGGUGCUGUAAGCU
rnacentral:rRNA from 1 species